AUUCCCCUAGUAACUGCGAGUGAAGCGGGAAAAGCUCAAAUUUAAAAUCUGGUGGUCUUUGGCCAUCCGAGUUGUAAUUUAGAGAAGCGUCUUCCGCGCUGGACCGUGCACAAGUCUCCUGGAAUGGAGCGUCACAGAGGGUGAGAAUCCCGUCUUUGGCACGGACACACCAGGGCUUUUGUGAUGCGCUCUCGAAGAGUCGAGUUGUUUGGGAAUGCAGCUCAAAAUGGGUGGUGAACUCCAUCUAAAGCUAAAUAUUGGCGAGAGACCGAUAGCGAACAAGUACCGUGAGGGAAAGAUGAAAAGCACUUUGGAAAGAGAGUGAAACAGUACGUGAAAUUGUUGAAAGGGAAACGCUUGAAGUCAGUCGCGUCGACCGAGACUCAGCCUUGCCUCGGCUCGGUGUACUUCUCGGCCGACGGGUCAGCAUCAAUUUUGCCCCUUGGAUAAUGGCGAGGGAAAUGUGACACCUUUACGGUGUGUUAUAGUCUCUUGUCGCAUGCAAGGGUUGGGAUUGAGGAACUCAGCACGCGCCUUUGGGUGUCGGGGUUUUGCCCACGAUACGUGCUUAGGAUGUUGGCGUAAUGGCUUUAAACGACCCGUCUUGAAACACGGACCAAGGAGUCUAACAUGCCUGCGAGUGUUCGGGUGGAAAACCCGUGCGCGCAAUGAAAGUGAAAGUUGGGACCUCUGUCGUGGAGGGCACCGACGCCCGGACCAGACCUUCUGUGACGGCUCUGCGGUAGAGCAUGUAUGUUAGGACCCGAAAGAUGGUGAACUAUGCCUGAAUAGGGUGAAGCCAGAGGAAACUCUGGUGGAGGCUCGUAGCGAUUCUGACGUGCAAAUCGAUCGUCAAAUUUGGGUAUAGGGGCGAAAGAC
rnacentral:rRNA from 1 species